UACGGAGGGGGCUAGCGUUGUUCGGAAUUACUGGGCGUAAAGCGCACGUAGGCGGACUAUUAAGUCAGUGGUGAAAUCCCGAGGCUCAACCUCGGAAUUGCCUUUGAUACUGGUAGUCUUGAGUCCGGGAGAGGUGAGUGGAAUUCCGAGUGUAGAGGUGAAAUUCGUAGAUAUUCGGAGGAACACCAGUGGCGAAGGCGGCUCACUGGCCCGGUACUGACGCUGAGGUGCGAAAGCGUGGGGAGCAAACAGG
rnacentral:rRNA from 1 species